rnacentral:tRNA from 1 species
UUAAUUGAAGCCAAAAUAGAGGCAUAUCACUGUUAAUGAUAAAAUUAGAAUAAUUCUCAAUUAAA